CAGAUGCUUUGCGGUUUACCUGCUGUUCGCAGGAGUUUCCCAAGGCGACUAUCAAUGACGAGUUACAUUUAGCUGAAAAUGUACAUGGUGGCACACAGCAAUGAUGUCCAGAGAUGCUAUCCGCCCGUCUUUGAAACACUAUUUUAGCAUGUUUGUACGCAAAAAAUAUGAAAAUGCGACAUUCAUUUUUAAAGAAGGCUGCAGUUACUUAACAACAUAAUCUCACUUGGUGGAAGAUAGUCGCCUCUGUACAAGCUGAAACAAGCCAAGCAAACAUAUGUAAGGUAAACUAUUAAUAUGCCAAAGAUUAAUUAAGAGAGCCAAGAUAAAUAUCACCGCACCUUAAGUAGGUGACGUAUUUGUAAGAAAUUAUUAUGUCUUCCACUGUAUUCAAUGUGGAGCUAAAUGCUACACGAUACCUCUAGCGGUAACGUCACGGACGAUAUUUCCAAAGACACAAGCCUCCUAACGGCGACAGGUCAAUAAAACAGUAAAUUUUAUUUAUAAAUGUAUCAAGAGAGGAUGAAAAUGAUACCGGACACGUCACUAAACUAAAGUUACGCUCCUUUUCCAAAGACUGACAUACCCAUUCCUCCUGAAGCUGAAAGAAUAAGAGCUUGCUGACAGUACAAACGGGUUAAAAAUCAACAGCUGUCCCACUGCUCCAUGGCAAUGCUGAGCUCCAGUAACUUCAGAGAAAUUGCAUUUGAUAGAGCCUAAAAAAUGACAAAAACAGAUAUUGGCCUUUAUGUAUAAUACAGUUGUGUUACUGUUAGUGUCUCACUUCAGUUGCAAAUGUUUGUGCAUUUUGUCACGAUACCAUGAUGUUCUUUCUGUGUUAUUACAUAUUGUUACAUAACAUAUACUUUAAUUAAUUCUGACUAUAAUAAAAUUAUUUAUUUUAUGGCCCAAAUAUAACUGAACUAUUACUCUGUUUACUCUGAUUAUUUGUAUAAACUUAUCUUCCUUUGAUCAAUAAUUUAAACUGGUUUUCCAGUGUAAUCUUUAUCUCACUUUGAAACAAAGGUGUACCUUGUGCCAGAGCUGUUGCUGUCAGAGCGGUGAUGAUCAUGUAGAUUGACCUCAUUUUUUCCUGUAGAGUAACUUCAAUAAAAUGCAAAUAAUA